rnacentral:rRNA from 1 species
AGUGCAUGUGGUGGAUGCCUUGGCAGUCAGAGGCGAUGAAAGACGUGAUAGCCUGCGAAAAGCUCCGGGGAGGCGGCAAAUAUCCUUUGAUCCGGAGAUGUCUGAAUGGGGGAACCCACCUACUUUAAGGUAGGUAUUGCAACAUGAAUACAUAGUGUUGCAAGGCGAACGAGGGGAAGUGAAACAUCUCAGUACCCUUAGGAAAAGAAAUCAAUUGAGAUUCCCUCAGUAGCGGCGAGCGAACGGGGAUCAGCCCAUUAAGUUAUGUGUGUUUUAGUGGAACGCUCUGGGAAGUGCGAACGUAGAGGGUGAUAUUCCCGUACACGAAAGGGCACACAUAAUGAUGACGAGUAGGGCGAGGCACGUGAAACCUUGUCUGAAUAUGGGGGGACCAUCCUCCAAGGCUAAAUACUCCUGACUGACCGAUAGUGAACCAGUACCGUGAGGGAAAGGCGAAAAGAACCCCUGUGAGGGGAGUGAAAUAGAUCGUGAAACCGCAUGCAUACAAGCAGUGGGAGCACCUUCGUGGUGUGACUGCGUACCUUUUGUAUAAUGGGUCAGCGACUUAUAUUCAGUAGCGAGGUUAACCGUAUAGGGGAGCCGUAGAGAAAUCGAGUCUUAAUAGGGCGUUUAGUUGCUGGGUAUAGACCCGAAACCAGGCGAUCUAUCCAUGAGCAGGUUGAAGGUUGGGUAACACUAACUGGAGGACCGAACCACUGUCGUUGAAAGCCAGGGGAUGACUUGUGGAUAGGGGUGAAAGGCUAAUCAAGCCUGGUGAUAGCUGGUUCUCCCCGAAAGCUAUUUAGGUAGCGCCUCGGACGAAUACCAUAGGGGGUAGAGCACUGUUUCGGCUAGGGGGUCAUCCCGACUUACCAAACCGAUGCAAACUCCGAAUACCUAUGAGUACUAUCCGGGAGACAGACUGCGGGUGCUAACGUCCGUAGUCAAGAGGAAAACAAUCCAGACCGCCAGCUAAGGCCCCAAAAUCAUAGUUAAGUGGGAAACGAUGUGGGAAGGCAUAGACAGCUAGGAGGUUGGCUUAGAAGCAGCCACCCUUUAAAGAAAGCGUAAUAGCUCACUAGUCGAGUCGGCCUGCGCGGAAGAUGUAACGGGGCUAAAACUAUGUGCCGAAGCUGCGGAUGUAUACUUUGUAUACGUGGUAGGGGAGCGUUCUGUAAGCCGAUGAAGGUGUGUUGAGAAGCAUGCUGGAGGUAUCAGAAGUGCGAAUGCUGACGUGAGUAACGACAAAACGGGUGAAAAACCCGUUCGCCGAAAGACCAAGGGUUCCAGUCCAACGUUAAUCGGGGCUGGGUGAGUCGACCCCUAAGGCGAGGCCGAAAGGCGUAGUCGAUGGGAAAAUGGUUAAUAUUCCAUUACUUCUGUGUAAUGCGAUGAGAGGACGGAGAAGGCUAAAUCAGCCUGGCGUUGGUUGUCCAGGUGAAAGGAUGUAGGCAUGUAUCUUAGGCAAAUCCGGGGUACUCUAUGCUGAGAUCUGAUAGCAAGCUGUACUUGUACAGCGAAGUGGUUGAUGCCAUGCUUCCAGGAAAAGUCUCUAAGCUUCAGUUACACAGGAAUCGUACCCGAAACCGACACAGGUGGUCAGGUCGAGUAGACCAAGGCGCUUGAGAGAACUCUGCUGAAGGAACUAGGCAAAAUGGUACCGUAACUUCGGGAGAAGGUACGCUGUUGUUGGUGAUGGAACUCGCUUCCUGAGCUGACGACAGCCGCAGAAACCAGGCCGCUGCAACUGUUUAUUAAAAACAUAGCACUCUGCAAACACGAAAGUGGACGUAUAGGGUGUGAUGCCUGCCCGGUGCUGGAAGGUUAAUUGAUGGGGUUAGCGUAAGCGAAGCUCUUGAUCGAAGCCCCAGUAAACGGCGGCCGUAACUAUAACGGUCCUAAGGUAGCGAAAUUCCUUGUCGGGUAAGUUCCGACCUGCACGAAUGGCAUAAUGAUGGCGGCGCUGUCUCCAGCAGAGGCUCAGUGAAAUCGAAAUCGCUGUGAAGAUGCAGUGUACCCGCGGCUAGACGGAAAGACCCCGUGAACCUUUACUGCAGCUUGACACUGAACUUUGACCUUACUUGUGUAGGAUAGGUGGGAGGCUUUGAAGCUGGAACGCUAGUUCCAGUGGAGCCGUCCUUGAAAUACCACCCUGGUAAUGUUGAGGUUCUAACUCUGUCCCGUGAUCCGGGACGAGGACCGUGUCUGGUGGGUAGUUUGACUGGGGCGGUCUCCUCCUAAAGAGUAACGGAGGAGUACGAAGGUGCGCUCAGCGUGGUCGGAAAUCACGCGUAGAGUAUAAAGGCAAAAGCGCGCUUAACUGCGAGACCCACAAGUCGAGCAGGUACGAAAGUAGGUCUUAGUGAUCCGGUGGUUCUGUAUGGAAGGGCCAUCGCUCAACGGAUAAAAGGUACUCUGGGGAUAACAGGCUGAUACCGCCCAAGAGUUCAUAUCGACGGCGGUGUUUGGCACCUCGAUGUCGGCUCAUCUCAUCCUGGGGCUGAAGCAGGUCCCAAGGGUAUGGCUGUUCGCCAUUUAAAGAGGUACGCGAGCUGGGUUUAGAACGUCGUGAGACAGUUCGGUCCCUAUCUACCGUGGGCGUCUGGAAUUUGAGAGGAUCUGCUCCUAGUACGAGAGGACCAGAGUGGACGAACCUCUGGUGUACCGGUUGUGACGCCAGUCGCAUCGCCGGGUAGCUAUGUUCGGAAGGGAUAACCGCUGAAAGCAUCUAAGCGGGAAGCCUACCUCAAGAUAAGAUUUCCCUAGGACUUUAUGUCCUCUAAAGAGCCGUUCGAGACUAGGACGUUGAUAGGUUGGAUGUGGAAGCAUAGUGAUAUGUGAAGCUGACCAAUACUAAUUGCUCGUGAGGCUUGACU